AUUGAACGCUGGCGGCAGGCCUAACACAUGCAAGUCGAGCGGAUGAAGGGAGCUUGCUCCUGGAUUCAGCGGCGGACGGGUGAGUAAUGCCUAGGAAUCUGCCUGGUAGUGGGGGAUAACGUCCGGAAACGGGCGCUAAUACCGCAUACGUCCUGAGGGAGAAAGUGGGGGAUCUUCGGACCUCACGCUAUCAGAUGAGCCUAGGUCGGAUUAGCUAGUUGGUGGGGUUAAGGCCUACCAAGGCGACGAUCCGUAACUGGUCUGAGAGGAUGAUCAGUCACACUAGAACUGAGACACGGUCCAGACUCCUACGGGAGGCAGCAGUGGGGAAUAUUGGACAAUGGGCGAAAGCCUGAUCCAGCCAUGCCGCGUGUGUGAAGAAGGUCUUCGGAUUGUAAAGCACUUUAAGUUGGGAGGAAGGGCAGUAAGUUAAUACCUUGCUGUUUUGACGUUACCAACAGAAUAAGCACCGGCUAACUUCGUG
rnacentral:rRNA from 1 species